rnacentral:piRNA from 1 species
UCCCCAAAGAUGUGUCCUCUGAAGAAGC